GCUAGCGGCGGACGGGUGAGUAACACGUGGGCAACCUGCCUCAUAGAGGGGAAUAGCCUUCCGAAAGGAAGAUUAAUACCGCAUAAGAUUGUAGCUUCGCAUGAAGUAGCAAUUAAAGGAGCAAUCCGCUAUGAGAUGGGCCCGCGGCGCAUUAGCUAGUUGGUGAGGUAACGGCUCACCAAGGCGACGAUGCGUAGCCGACCUGAGAGGGUGAUCGGCCACAUUGGGACUGAGACACGGCCCAGACUCCUACGGGAGGCAGCAGUGGGGAAUAUUGCACAAUGGGGGAAACCCUGAUGCAGCAACGCCGCGUGAGUGAUGACGGCCUUCGGGUUGUAAAGCUCUGUCUUCAGGGACGAUAAUGACGGUACCUGAGGAGGAAGCCACGGCUAACUACGUGCCAGCAGCCGCGGUAAUACGUAGGUGGCGAGCGUUGUCCGGAUUUACUGGGCGU
rnacentral:rRNA from 1 species